rnacentral:rRNA from 1 species
CACGUAAUUAGCCGGACCUUAUUCGUAUAGUACUGUCAUUUUCUUCCUAUACAAAAGAUUUUUACAAUCCGAAGACUUUCUAAAUCACGCGGCGUCGCUGCAUCAGGGUUUCCCCCAUUGUGCAAAAUUCCCCCACUGCUGCCUCCCGUAGGAGUUUGGGCCGUGUCUCAGUCCCAAUGUGGCCGUACACUCUCUCAAGCCGGCUACUGAUCGUUGCCUUGGUGAGCUUUUAUCUCACCAACUAGCUAAUCAGACGCAAGUCCAUCUUACACCGAUAAAUCUUUGGUAAAGCUACCAUGCGGUUUCUUUACUUCAUAGGGUAUUAUUCGUCGUUUCCAACGGCUAUCCCCUUGUGCAAGGCAGGUUACUCACGUGUUACUCACCCGUCCGCCACUAUCCACUUAGUCAUCAUCCCGAAGGAACCUGUUAAAGCUUCAUCGUUCGACUUGCAUGUGUUAUGCACGCGCCAGCGUAUCCGACGCAGGAUCAACUC